rnacentral:lncRNA from 1 species
CAGGAAUAAUUUGGGAAUUUUCCUGCUGGAAUUUGGGGAUUAAUUUGGGGUUUCCCUGCUGGAUUUUGGGGAUAAAUCCCAGAUUUUUGUGAUUUUUUUUGGGAAUAUUUUGGGAAUUUUCCUGCUGGAUUUUGGGGAUAAUUUUGGGAUUUUUUGUGCUGAUUUUUUUGGGAUCAUUCCGGGAUUUCUGUUCUGGAUUUCGGGAAUAAUUUGGGAAUUUUCCUGCUGGAAUUUGGGGAUUAAUCCCAGAUUUUUGUGCUGGAUUUUGGGGAUAAUUUUGGGAUUUUUGUGCUGGAUUUUGGGGAUAAAUCCGAUUUUUGUGCUGAUUUUUUUGGGAUCAUUCCAGGAUUUUUGUGCUGGGUUUUGGGGAUAAAUCCCAGAUUUCUGUUCUGGAUUUUGGGGAUAAUUUGGGAAUUUCCCUGCUGGAUUUCGGGGAUAAAUUUGGGAAUUUUCUUGCUGGAAUUUGGGGAUUAAUCCCAGAUUUUUGUGCUGGAUUUUGGGGAUAAUUUUGGGGUUUCCCUGCUGGAUUUUGGGAAUAACUUUGGGAUUUUUUGUGCUGGAUUUUGGGGAUAAAUCCCAGAAUUUCUGUUCUGGAUUUCAGGAAUAAUUUGGGAAUUUCCCUGCUGGAUUUUGGGGAUUAAUUUGGGGUUUCCCUGCUGGAUUUUGGGGAUAAUUCCCGGAUUUCUGUUUUGGAUUUUGGGGAUAAUUUUGGGAAUUUCCCUGCUGGAUUUUGGGGAUAAUUUUGGGUUUUCCUGCUGGAUUUUAGGGAUAAUCCUGGAAGAGUUGGAUGGGGAGAAGGGAAUUCCUGCAGCCCCGGCCCCAUUUGGGGUUCAGGCCCCAUUUGGGGUUUGGGGUUCAGUUUUUCCCCAUUUGGGGUUUUUGGGUUCAGUUUUUCCCCAUUUGGGAUUUUUGGGUUCAGUUUUUCCCCAUUUGGGGUUUUUGGGGGUUCAGUUUUUCCCCAUUUGGGGUUCUCCAAGUCCCGCAGAUUCCCGUAGCUCGAUCCCGAGGAUUUCCGGGGAAAUCAUUAACCGGGAACGGGAUCGGCCGGGACCUUCGGACCCCGCGCCCGGACACACCCGGACACACCCGGGAACGAGAACGGGAUCGGCUGGGAACGGGAUCAUCCCAUGGGAACGGGAUCAUCCAUGGGAACGGGAUCAUCCCAUGGGAACGGGAUCAGCUGGGAACGGGAUCAUCCCAUGGGAACGGGAUCAUCCAUGGGAACGGGAUCAGCUGGGAACGGGAUCAUCCCAUGGGAACGGGAUCAUCCAUGGGAACGGGAUCAUCCAUGGGAACGGGAUCGGCUGGGAACGGGAUCAUCCCAUGGGAACGGGAUCAUCCAUGGGAACGGGAUCAGCUGGGAACGGGAUCAUCCCAUGGGAACGGGAUCAUCCAUGGGAACGGGAUCAGCUGGGAACGGGAUCAUCCUGAGGGAAUGGGAUCAUCCUAUGGGAACGGGAUCAUCCUAUGGGAACGGGAUCAUCCCAUGGGAACGGGAUCAUCCAUGGGAAUGGGAUCAUCCCAAGGGAACGGAAUCAUCCUGGGGGAAUGGGAUCAUCCCAUGGGAACGGGAUCAUCCAUGGGAAUGGGAUCAUCCCAUGGGAAUGGGAUCAUCCAUGGGAUUUGGGAUUGGGGUGGGAUUGGGAAACCCUGGGAUCCCAUCCCAAGGAAUUCCGGGAUCCAGGAGGCUCAGGAUCCAUCCCGAGGGAUUUUUAUGGAAUUUGGGAAAGGAAAUCCA